GCGAGUGAAGCGGCAACAGCUCAAAUUUGAAAUCUGGCCCCCUCGGGGUCCGAGUUGUAAUUUGUAGAGGGUGCUUCGGGCGCGAUGCCGGUCUAAGUUCCUUGGAACAGGACGUCGUAGAGGGUGAGAAUCCCGUAUGCGACCGGCGAUCAAGCCCGUGCGAAGCCCCUUCGACGAGUCGAGUUGUUUGGGAAUGCAGCUCAAAAUGGGUGGUAAAUUUCAUCUAAAGCUAAAUACCGGCCAGAGACCGAUAGCGGACAAGUAGAGUGAUCGAAAGAUGAAAAGCACUUUGGAAAGAGAGUCAAACAGUACGUGAAAUUGUUGAAAGGGAAGCGCUUGCAAUCAGACCGGUCCGGAGGCGAUCAGCCGCUGCUCGUCAGCGGUGCACUCGCCUGCGAUCCGGCCAGCAUCGGUUUGGGCGGCGGGAUAAAAGUCCCGGGAAUGUAGCUUCUCCCGGGGAGUCUUAUAGCCCGGGUCGCAAUGCCGCCCGCCCGGACCGAGGACC
rnacentral:rRNA from 1 species